rnacentral:piRNA from 1 species
UAGAAUGGUCUAUCCUACGGAAUACCCCGC